CCGCCUGAUGGGGACGGAGCGGCCGCGGCUCCGCCGCGCCGGGCACGGUGCGCGCUGCGCCCUGCGCCCGCCCGAGCCUGGGGGAGGCGCCGGGGCGGGGAGCGGCGGCCAAACCGGAGCCGCCCGGCCAGGGGCGCGCAGCCAGGAGGGAGGGAAAGGUGCUGCAGGAUGAGAUCCAGGCCCAGAGCUGCUCUUUUCCAAGGAUUUGGGAUUUCCAAACUGUUCCCAUCAGCCGGAGCAGAACUCAGGUCAGGAUGGAGAUGAAGUCUCAGCUGUGAGCAUGGAAAAAUUCCAGGAAUAUGGAUAAAACCAGCAGGAAUUAUGUUGGGAAGGGGACGGGAAAAGCUGGAUCCAGCUCCAGGUGUGUCCAGAGGUGGCUCCUGGGCUGAAUCUUCGGGAACUUCUCAUGGAAUUUCUGCUCCUGCUGCUGCUGAGAACCUCUGGAAAAGGACUUUUCUCCUGGAAAAAGGAUUGCUGGGACGAGCUGGGAUUUCAAAGGAAUUUCUGGGAGUCCAGAGCUGCUUUUUCCUUUGUUUUUUUUUCCAAGGAAAAAUGCGGAUUUUGAUUGUUUGAAGGUGCAGAAAAUUCCAUUUUCUGUCGUUAUUGAGGGAAUUUAUUCCCAGUUCCAAGCCAACAUUCCAUGUUUAAAGCUGCUCCUGUCAGUGUUUGUAUUCCGAGAGUUUGGGAAUUUAAAAAAAAUGGGAAUUGUAAUAUUGGGAAUAAAUCUGAAGGGUUAUUUUUCCAUAUUUAACUUUCCUUCUGUGAUUUUUUUUCAUUCCUGGUGGUUUUUGUCCUGCUUUGUUUUUAUAGGAAUUUUGAAUCCGUGGGGUUGGUUUUUAAUGGGAAUUGUUGGGAUUUUUUCCUUGUUUGUUUUUAUCAGGAAUUUGGAAUUUAUGGGAUUGGGUUUUAGCAGGAAUUUGAGUUUUUUUCCUUGCUUUUAACAGGAAUUUGUGGGAUUUUUCCUGGUUAUUUUUAAGAGGGAUUUUGAGUUUGUGGGAUUUGUUUUUUACCAGGAAUUUUUAAUGGAAUUCCUGGGAUUUUUCCUUGUUUAUUUUGACAUGAACUUUGAAAUUAUUUGGAUAUGUUUUUAAGGGGAAUUUUGAAUGGAAUUUGUCCUGUCCAUUUUUACCAGGAAUUCUGAAUUUGUGGAAUUUUUCCUCCUCCUUUUUAACCAGGAAUUUUCAGUUUGGGGCAUUUUUCCUUGUUUAAGAGGAAUUUUGAAUGUGUGGGAUUGGGAUUUUUUUUUUGCAGGAAUUUGAGGUUUUUUCCUUGGCCAUUUUAACAGGAACUUUGAAUUGAUGGGAUUUAUUUUUACCAGGAAUUUUUGGGAUUUUUCCUUGUUUAUUUUCCUGGGAACUUUGAAUUUUUGGGGUUGGUUUUUAGCAGGAAUUUUUAAUGAAAUUUGUGGGAUUUUCCCUUGUUUUUUCCCCACAGGAAAUUGCAGUUUUUCCCUUUCUUUUCCCAGGAUUCCCUCCCAAAUUCCAGAGGAAUCCUCCAGUUCCUGCCCCGCAUUCCUGGGGUGAAUUCCCGUGGAAAAUCCCUGGGAAUUGUUUGUUCAUCCCUUGAAUGUCCCUUUGUUUUCCCACACAAAGAAUUCCUUCUUUUUCUCGGGAACAACUCCCAGCUCUGCACAGCUGGGAAUGGAAAAAUUCCCAGAAUUCCCCAAAUACCCACCCUCAGCAUUCCCAGCUGGGGAACUUUGGGAUCAAACAAAUCCCUGGGAUCCAGGAAUUCCAUGGGAUCCCCCAAGGAUUUCCAAUUUGUGGUUCAACCCCUUAAAAUCAGAAUUUUUGCAGCAUUCCAGGGAAAAAAGUGGGGAAAUCUGACAAAAAAUGAUGAAAAGCUGAUUUGAAGGUGAAAAAUGAGGAAGAAAACUCUGGGAUGGCUCCAGAAUUCCCUAAAAUUAGUUGGAAAAUGUUAUUCCCAUUUUUGAAAUAUUAUUAUUAAAUUUAUUUUCUGUUUUGUUGAAAAA